UGGCUGAGCGGUAAAGCGCUUGGCUUCUGAACUGGGGGUCCCGGGUUCAAAUCCUGG
rnacentral:tRNA from 1 species